AGAGUUUGAUCCUGGCUCAGAAUGAACGCUGGCGGCGUGCUUAAGACAUGCAAGUCGUACGUGAAAGUCCGCAAGGAUGAGUAAAGUGGCGCACGGGUGAGUAAUAUUUAGGUAACGUACCCUUCCGCUGUGGAUAACCAGACGAAAGUUUGGCUAAUACAGAAUAGUCUAAUCGAAACUGCGGUUUUGAUUAGUAAAGCCGUAAGGCGCGGAAGGUCUGGCCUAAAUCCCAUUAGCUAGUUGGUAGGGUAAUGGCCUAUCAAGGCUACGAUGGGUAGCUGUUCUUAGAGGAAGACCAGCCACACUGGAACUGGAACACGGUCCAGACUCCUACGGGAGGCAGCAGUUAGGAAUUUUGCGCAAUGGGGGAAACCCUGACGCAGCAACGCCGCGUGGAGGAUGAAGGCUUUCGGGUCGUAAACUCCUUUUAGCAGGGAAGAAAAAAAUGACGGUAUCUGCAGAAAAAGCACCGGCUAACUCUGUGCCAGCAGCCGCGGUAAUACAGAGGGUGCAAGCGUUAUUCGGAAUCACUGGGCGUAAAGAGCUCGUAGGCGGUUAAUUAAGUCAUAUGUGAAAGCCCUGGGCUCAAUCCAGGAAGUGCAUCUGAUACUGAUUGACUGGAGUGCAGGAGAGGAAAGCGGAAUUCCAGGUGUAGAGGUGAAAUUCGUAGAUAUCUGGAGGAACAACAGAGGCGAAGGCGGCUUUCUGGACUGUCACUGACGCUGAGGAGCGAAAGCGUGGGGAGCAAACAGGAUUA
rnacentral:rRNA from 1 species